CUGAUUCGGGCUCCGGCCCGAUCCUCCCACCCUUUGUGUACCUACCUCUGUUGCUUUGGCGGGCCGCGGUUCUCCGCGGCCGCCCCCCUCCCCGGGGGGUGGCCAGCGCCCGCCAGAGGACCAUCAAACUCCAGUCAGUAAACGAUGCAGUCUGAAAAACAUUUAAUAAACUAAAACUUUCAACAACGGAUCUCUUGGUUCUGGCAUCGAUGAAGAACGCAGCGAAAUGCGAUAAGUAAUGUGAAUUGCAGAAUUCAGUGAAUCAUCGAAUCUUUGAACGCACAUUGCGCCCUUUGGUAUUCCGAAGGGCAUGCCUGUUCGAGCGUCAUUACAACCCUCAAGCUCUGCUUGGUAUUGGGCACCGUCCUUUGCGGGCGCGCCUCAAAGACCUCGGCGGUGGCGUCUUGCCUCAAGCGUAGUAGAACAUACAUCUCGCUUCGGAGCGCAGGGCGUCGCCCGCCGGACGAACCUUCUGAACUUUUCUCAAGGUGACCUCGGAUCAGGUAGGGAUACCCGCUGAACUUAAGCAUAUCAAUAAGCGGAGAGGAUCAUUACCGAGUUGAU
rnacentral:rRNA from 1 species